rnacentral:rRNA from 1 species
AGAGUUUGAUCCUGGCUCAGGAUGAACGCUGACAGAAUGCUUAACACAUGCAAGUCUACUUGAACUUCGGUUUGGGUGGCGGACGGGUGAGUAACGCGUAAAGAACUUGCCUCACAGUUAGGGACAACAUUUGGAAACGAAUGCUAAUACCUGAUAUUAUGAUUUUAGGGCAUCCUAAGAUUAUGAAAGCUAUAUGCGCUGUGAGAGAGCUUUGCGUCCCAUUAGCUAGUUGGAGAGGUAACGGCUCACCAAGGCGAUGAUGGGUAGCCGGCCUGAGAGGGUGAACGGCCACAAGGGGACUGAGACACGGCCCUUACUCCUACGGGAGGCAGCAGUGGGGAAUAUUGGACAAUGGACCAAAAGUCUGAUCCAGCAAUUCUGUGUGCACGAUGACGUUUUUCGGAAUGUAAAGUGCUUUCAGUUGGGAAGAAAAAAAUGACGGUACCAACAGAAGAAGUGACGGCUAAAUACGUGCCAGCAGCCGCGGUAAUACGUAUGUCACAAGCGUUAUCCGGAUUUAUUGGGCGUAAAGCGCGUCUAGGUGGUUAUGUAAGUCUGAUGUGAAAAUGCAGGGCUCAACUCUGUAUUGCGUUGGAAACUGCAUGACUAGAGUACUGGAGAGGUAAGCGGAACUACAAGUGUAGAGGUGAAAUUCGUAGAUAUUUGUAGGAAUGCCGAUGGGGAAGCCAGCUUACUGGACAGAUACUGACGCUAAAGCGCGAAAGCGUGGGUAGCAAACAGGAUUAGAUACCCUGGUAGUCCACGCCGUAAACGAUGAGUGCUAAGUG